rnacentral:tRNA from 1 species
CGCCCUGUGGCGCGGCCCGGCCCUGCCCGAGCUGGAGGCGUGGGAACCCGGCCGGAUCGAGGCCGGCCGGCUCGCC